rnacentral:rRNA from 1 species
UACAGAGGGGGCAAGCGUUGUUCGGAAUUACUGGGCGUAAAGGGCGCGUAGGCGGCCUGUUAAGUUAGACGUGAAAUCCCUCGGCUCAACCGGGGAACUGCGUCUGAUACUGGCGGGCUUGAAUUCGGGAGAGGGAUGUGGAAUUCCAGGUGUAGCGGUGAAAUGCGCAGAUAUCAGGAGGAACACCGGUGGCGAAGGCGGGUCUCUGGGCCGAUACUGACGCUGAGGAGCGAAAGCGUGGGGAGCGAACAGG